rnacentral:lncRNA from 1 species
GGAACAAAGCCGAAGAGAAUACUCCUAAGCGCACAGCCACAGGGUUAUACGAUGUUCCCGUUAGGCUGAUUAAUGAACUAGGACCAAAAUGUAAGGAAGCUCUCGUGAAUGCAGUUGA